rnacentral:tRNA from 1 species
UGGAGUGUAGUUCAGUUGGCAGAGUGCUUGCCUCGCAUGUAAGAGACCCUGGGUCCAAUCCCCAGCACCCAC